rnacentral:rRNA from 1 species
UGGGGAAUUUUGCACAAUGCCCGAAAGGGUGAUGCAGCAACGCCGCGUGAGGGAUGAAGGCCUUCGGGUCGUAAACCUCUUUCGACUGGGAAAAACGGGCUGGUGAAGAGCCAGUUCUGAUGGUACCGGUGGAAGAAGCCCCGGCUAACUACGUGCCAGCAGCCGCGGUAAUACGUAGGGGGCGAGCGUUGUUCGGAAUUAUUGGGCGUAAAGGGCGUGUAGGCGGUGCGGUAAGUCGGGCGUUAAAUCUCCAGGCUUAACUUGGAGGGGCCGUCCGAAACUGCCGUGCUAGGGUGCGGGAGAGGGCAGUGGAAUUCCCGGUGUAGCGGUGAAAUGCGUAGAUAUCGGGAGGAACAUCUGUGGCGAAGGCGGCUGCCUGGACCGCAACCGACGCUGAGGCGCGAAAGCUAGGGGAGCAAACAGG